AGCUAAACUCUGCAGCGCAUUGGACCUCCAGGGCAAGAUUUGACCCUGGUAUACACUUAUGGGCUGAUCACUUCACCAGACCAGAGGAAGAUCAACGCCUGCUUCUACAUCGCUGUCUGUUUAUCCCUGCCCACCAAUUUCACGCAUGUAGUGUUUACAAGAGAGGCGAAUGUGUGUAGAACGUUUCUACACAGAAACCAAAGAUAAAGAUGGCUCUGAAGACAAGAAAAUGCUGUUCAGUGCUAAGUUGUGGAAAAACAGUCUUUGCAUUGCCUUCCUUCUGAUCCCAACAUUACGAAAGAGUGGAUGAAGUUCCAGACCACAUCAAAGGCCCCGGAGCCGUUUGGAGCACUUUUUACAAUGGAUGGAUGCACUUUUAUUGGACUUCAAAAUCUUAAACCCCAUUCACUGCCAUUAUAAAGCGUGGACUUUUUUUUAUGUAAAUUAGCAUUCGAUUGUAUUCGUCUGAAAUAAG